AACGUGGAAAAAGGGCAAAAAGAGAACCAGAGAACAAGGAUUUCAGGGAGGAAAAGCUUGAAGCUGCAGAGGCUGCCGGAUUAACUCAGGUAAGGGGGGUUUAUCGUUGAUGACGGGUAUUAUAUGAUAAUAUGUCAUGGGUAGUGAUAGACCUUUAAUUUACCUUUGAAUUGGAUGAUUAGGAUGAAUUUAUGGAAAUAAUUGAUGAACGAAAUUGGGUGAUAAUCGAAAGAAAUUCGUAGGAAUUGUAUGUGAUAAUGUCAGGAGUUGUGAAAUCGAAUAGGGAAUGAUUCGGGUUAGAUGAUACGAGUGAUUUUCUGUGUAGAUGUGGACUGUGG
rnacentral:lncRNA from 1 species